rnacentral:rRNA from 1 species
UACAGAGGGUGCAAGCGUUAAUCGGAAUUACUGGGCGUAAAGCGUGCGUAGUCGGUUAUUUAAGUCGGAUGUGAAAUCCCCAGGCUUAACCUGGGAACUGCAUCCGAUACUGGAUGGCUUGAAUCCGGGAGAGGGAUGCAGAAUUCCAGGUGUAGCGGUGAAAUGCGUAGAUAUCUGGAGGAAUACCGGUGGCGAAGGCGGCAUCCUGGACCGGCAUUGACGCUGAGGCGCGAAAGCGUGGGGAGCAAACAGG